GGGGCAGUAGUUCAGUGGUAGAGCAUCGCUUCGUAUAGGGAAAGACCUGGGUUCGAUUCCCGGCUGCUUAC
rnacentral:tRNA from 1 species